rnacentral:rRNA from 1 species
UACGUAGGGGGCAAGCGUUGUCCGGAUUUAUUGGGCGUAAAGAGCGUGUAGGCGGCCAGAUAGGUCCGUUGUGAAAACUCGAGGCUCAACCUCGAGACGCCGAUGGAAACCAUUUGGCUAGAGUCCGGGAGAGGUGAGUGGAACUGCGAGUGUAGAGGUGAAAUUCGUAGAUAUUCGCAAGAACACCAGUGGCGAAGGCGGCUCACUGGCCCGGUACUGACGCUGAGGUGCGAAAAGCGUGGGGAGCAAACAGG